CGACUUAGCAGCAGCAGCAGCAGCAGCAGCAUCUCCUCAGCUGUGUCCAGGGGAAGAUAUGAAACAGAAAAGCUACAAAGUAAAGACAGUCAACUUAAAACAGUUCCUGUUCAUGAGGUCUUCACUUCUCUGAUGGGGUAGAGAGCAGAGUCUCAUUCUCCACGGAGCCCCAGUGUGUCUUUUUAUUCAUUUAAUAAAGAUUUUGG